rnacentral:rRNA from 1 species
GCAACGAGCGCAACCCUUGCCUCCUGUUGCUAACAGAUAAUGCUGAGCACUCUGGAGAGACUGCCGGUGAUAAACCGGAGGAAGGUGGGGAUGACGUCAAGUCCUCAUGGCCUUUAUGCCCCGGGCUACACACGUGCUACAAUGGGCGAUACAAAGGGUCGCAAAACCGUGAGGUGGAGCUAAUCCCAAAAAGUCGCUCCCAGUUCGGAUUGCUUCAUACGCUUUCCGGGUGCAUGAAGCUGGAAUCGCUAGUAAUCGC